rnacentral:rRNA from 1 species
GAUCCAACUAGUUGCGGGCUCCCCGUCUCCCGGUGUGACUGUCGACCGGGGUGGACUGUCCUCAGUGCGCCCUGACCGCGUCCUGCCGCCGAGUCGGAAGAGCCACGAGCGGGCGCCAGGGGUCCGCGGCGAUG